AGUCGAAUUGGAACCGAGCCAUUACCAAGUAGGGUUUAGAGGGCCCUUGCUGGCUUGCCAUAGGAAGCCUAUGCGGUAUGGAAAGCAUUCCCGCAUCCAUGACUGGCUUUUACCAGAGCUGCAUGGUUUGUGCCAAACUCUGUACGGGAAUAAUGAUAUGAUUUCCAUACCCGACCCCCAAGCUUCUUCCAAUAGCAAGCCAGGAAGGGCCAACUAAACCCCACAAGAACCCAAUGGUCCAAACCAAUCUCCAAAAACCACCUUUAAUGCCCCCAUAUUGGGUUACAAGCUUGCACUACCGAGCUCGGCAAUGAACACUUAUUGGUUACGACUAUAUGAAGAAAAGAUUUUUUUCUUAGUUGUCCAAUGUGGGACAUAAAGACUGGUUACGCUGAAAAAGAAAAGGAAAGAACAAAAAGUUGGGAGUCGACUUGAAGUCGAUGAGGAUGGGAUGCAAUGGCAAGGCCUUAAAAGCCUUCUCUCGCUGGAGUUUACGGAUCUUCCAAAAUUGGUGUCUCUCCCAUUAGGACUUCAACAUUGUACUACAAAAUCUCGCGAUUUCAAAUUGUGAAAGCUUGAAAGCUAUACCAGAGUGGAUCCACAACUGUACAUCACUUCAAGUGUUCAAAAUUUGGAAAUGUUCUAGUUUGUCAUCAUUGCCCGAAGGAAUGCGUAGCCUAAUGUCUUGCGAAGGCUAGAAAUUCAGGCAUGUCCCAUCUUAUUGCGAAGAUGCGAGAGAGAAAUUGGUGAGGAUUGGCCCAAGAUUGCUCACAUCCCAGAGCUAUACGGGGAUCUCGCUCUGCCUCAGCAGAGAGAAAAUUCAAACACUCAUGCAUCUUCGAGUUAUUCAGAAGUAGUAGCAGAACCAGUUGAAGCACAGAAGAAACAUAAGAUUCAAACCUUAUUCAAAAAUCUAUGCUGAAAUGGGGGGUUAUUCCUUCUGGACAAAGUACCAGAAGAAUGUUGAAGCAUACCACAACAAAGGCAGCAGCAUGAAGCCAAACAUACAUGGUCACCUUCAAAGCGGAGGAAGAAUAGCACUUAUCAUACUAUCGUAAAGAGUUAAUUAAGAUCCAUCGGCUGGGUUUGUGAGGACCUAGUGUUAGUAAAGCUAGUAUCUUGCAGGAAAUUGUGACAACAAAAGCUUCUAAUGUGGUGAAAUUAGGGAACAAGGGUUCAAGUGACAAACGUGGGAGGAGUUUCCAAAAGAGAUCUAGUUUGUCAUCAUUGCCCGAAGGAAUGCGAAGCCUAAUGUCUUUGCGAAGGCUAGAAAUUCAGACAUGUCCCAUCUUAUUGCGAAGAUGCGAGAGAGAAAUUGGUGAGGAUUGGCCCAAGAUUGCUCACAUCCCAGAGCUAUACGGGGAUCUCGCUCUGCCUCAGCAGAGAAAAAAUUCAAACACCCAUGCAUCUUCGAGUUAUUCAGUUGCAGAAGUAGUAGCAGAACCAGUUGAAGCACAGAAGAAACAUAAGAUUCAAACCUUAUUCAAAAAUCUAUGCUGAAAUGGGGGGUUAUUCCUUCUGGACAAACUACCAGAAAAAUGUUGAAGCAUACCACAACAAAGGCAGCAGCAUGAAGCCAAACAUACAUGGUCACCUUCAAAGUCGAGGAAGAAUAGCAUGUUGCUUGUUCCUUAUUUACACUUUAUUCCAAUUAAAUAUGGCAUGUAUGAAUUCUUACUUGUUUGGAGUUAGAGUAACUCAAAUAUUCGAAGGCUCAGGAUGAUGGUGAUGAGGCCAUUGUUACAAUCUUUGUAAUUUGUCCUUCGAGUUUUCUACACUAAAUCCACUCUCAACCCACUGUUUAGGUACAUAGCUCACACAAUCAAGUUUGUGCACGAGAUACACAUACAAUAAACACAACUGCUCCAAUAAUAAGAAAUACAGAGUGUGAUUGAAACAGCAAAGCAUGUGACACUAAUAAAUCACU